AUUGAACGCUGGCGGCAUGCUUUACACAUGCAAGUCGAACGGUAACAGGCCGCAAGGUGCUGACGAGUGGCGAACGGGUGGGUAAUGCAUCGGAACGUGCCCAGUCGUGGGGGAUAACUACUCGAAAGAGUAGCUAAUACCGCAUACGAUCUAUGGAUGACAGCGGGGGACCGUAAGGCCUCGCGCGAUUGGAGCGGCCGAUGUCAGAUUAGGUAGUUGGUGGGGUAAAGGCUCACCAAGCCAACGAUCUGUAGCUGGUCUGAGAGGACGACCAGCCACACUGGGACUGAGACACGGCCCAGACUCCUACGGGAGGCAGCAGUGGGGAAUUUUGGACAAUGGGCGCAAGCCUGAUCCAGCAAUGCCGCGUGCAGGAAGAAGGCCUUCGGGUUGUAAACUGCUUUUGUACGGAACGAAACGGCUCUGGUUAAUACCCGGGGCUAAUGACGGUACCGUAAGAAUAAGCACCGGCUAACUACGUG
rnacentral:rRNA from 1 species